GAGGGUAUAGCUUAAGUGGUAGAGCAUAUGCUUAGUAUGCACAAGGUCAUGGGUUCAAUCCCCAGAACCUCCU
rnacentral:tRNA from 1 species